rnacentral:other from 1 species
AAUGCCCUGCCUGGUUCGUGAUUGGGCGAGCAUAUCCUGACCCGUUAAGAUCGUUUGAUACGGGGUCUUGAUAAUGACGGCGCCGGAAAGCCUCCUUCGAGAGGACUCCGAAACUGCCGUGUGAGGGACCCCACCUCACUAUUGAGGAGUCAGGAUCGAUGCCCUUAACGACUUAUGGUGGGGUAUUU